rnacentral:tRNA from 3 species
GCCGAAGUGGUGGAAAUGGUAGACACGCUGUGUUGAGGGCGCAGUGGGCGCAUGCCCGUCCGAGUUCGAGUCUCGGCUUCGGCACCA